rnacentral:hammerhead_ribozyme from 1 species
GCACUGCCGAGGAGUCCCGUAGUAGGACGAAACGGCCGUCCAGUAC